ACAAACCCAAAUCCAUUCUCUGUUGCUGCCUUUCUUUUCCCAAAGCCUUCCUCAUCAUCCCCAUCCUCUCCUAUAGCCGCCGACUGCACCCAGCCAGCAGGCAGCAGCACGAAGCCACUUUCACCCGUAGCCUUCUCUCUCUUCCUCGCGCGCCCCCACCCUCCGCCGUCUCCUCUCUCCUUCUCCUCCCACCACUACCACCCGUCCCCACCGCCUCUCGUCCGCUGCAUUGCAUCCUUAGCAACUCCUCUCCCUCACCGCCAUACGACAUUUCACCGCCCCCCGAGGCCGCUUCAUCCUUAUCAUGAAACCCUGGUGCAGAAGAUCUAUAAAUCGAUUCGCCGUCCUGGCUCCGCCUCCAAGGCUAGGGCUUACGCCGAUGUCAACGUGAUCCGAACCAAGGACUACUGGGACUCCCUCACUGUCUAAUGGGGGGAGCAGGGUGAUUACGAGGUGGUGAAGAAGGUUGGGAGAGGAAAGUAUAGUGAAGUGUUUGAAGGGGUUCACUGUACCGAUAACGAAAAAUGUAUUAUCAAGAUUCUCAAACCUGUUAAAAAGAAGAAGAUUAAGAGGGAGAUAAAAAUACUGCAGAAUCUCUGUGGGGGCUAAGUCAGAACGUGGACUCAAUGGAGGGAUUGCAAGAGAAAUAUAUGAUGAGUGGAGAGGAAGGAGGGCUUGAAAACUGGUUAAGAUGGUAGUUGUUGUAAUUGUCUUUUAUUAUUUGAUGAUAAUUUGUUGAGAUGAUUGUUGUAAUUGUUUUUAAUUGUUUGAAGACUACUGAGACGUAGACAUGUAUGGAAGCCUACUUCCGGAAAAUAGAGACUCAUAAUUUUUACACUUAUACUAUA